rnacentral:sRNA from 1 species
GCCAGGCACAGUGGUGCACGCCUGUAAUUUCAGCUCCUCAAGGGCUGAGGCAGGAGGAUCGAAAGUUGGAGGCCAGCAAGACCCUGUCUCAA